AGUACCUACGGGACGCAGCAGUGAGGAAUAUUGGUCAAUGGCCGGAAGGCUGAACCAGCCAAGCCGCGUGAAGGACGAAGGUGCCAAGCAUUGUAAACUUCUUUUGUCAAGGGACAAAAUCAGGCUCGAGAGCCUGACCGAGGGUACUUGAGGAAAAAGCAUCGGCUAACUCCGUGCCAGCGGCCGCGGUAAUACGGAGGAUGCGAGCGUUAUCCGGAUUUAUUGGGUUUAAGGGGUGCGUAGGCGGACUGUUAAGUCAGCGGUAAAAGCCCGGGGCUCAACCCCGGCGAGCCGCUGAAACUGGG
rnacentral:rRNA from 1 species